AAAUAUAUUUGUGAGGUAGCUGGUGUGUGAGGGAGGUAUCUGGUGUGUGAGGGAGGUAGCUGGUGUGUGAGGGAGGUAGCUGUGUGCAAGGUAGGUAGCUGGUGUGUGAGGGAGGUAGCUGGUGUGUGAGGGAGGUAGCUGGUGUGUGAGGGAGGUAGCUGUGUGCAAGGGAGGUAGCUGUGUGCAAGGUAGGUAGCUGGUGUGUGAGGGAGGUGGCUGGCAUGUGAGGGAGGUGGCUGGCGUGUGAGGGAGGUAGCUGGAGUGUGAGGGAGAUAGCUGGAGUGUGAGGGAGGUAGCUGGAGUGUGAGGGAGGUAGCUGGUGUGUGAGGGAGGUAGCUGGUGUGCGAGGUAGGUAGCUGGUGUGUGAGGGAGGUGGCUGGCGUGUGAGGGAGGUGGCUGGCGUGUGAGGGAGGUAGCUGGCGUGUGAGGGAGGUAGCUGGAGUGUGAGGGAAGUGGCUGGCGUGUGAGGGAGGUGGCUGGCGUGUGAGGGAGGUAGCUGGAGUGUGAGGGAGGUAGCUGGAGUGUGAGGGAGGUAGCUGGUGUGCGAGGUAGGUAACUGGUGUGUGAGGGAGGUGGCUGGCAUGUGAGGGAGGUGGCUGGAGUGUGAGGGAGGUAGCUGGAGUGUGAGGGAGGUAGCUGGCGUGUGAGGGAGAUGGCUGGCGUGUGAGGGAGAAAGCUGGAGUGUGAGGGAGGUAGCUGGUGUGUGAGGUAGGUAGCUGGUGUGUGAGGGAGGUAGCUGGUGUGUGAGGGAGGUAGCUGGUGUGCGAGGUAGGUAGCUGGUGUGUGAGGGAGGAAGCUGGUGUGUGAGGGAGGUAGCUGGCGUGUGAGGGAGGUAGCUGGCGUGUGAGGGAGUGUGAGGGAGGUGGCUGGCG
ensembl:lncRNA